rnacentral:rRNA from 1 species
GAUGAACGCUAGCUACAGGCUUAACACAUGCAAGUCGAGGGGCAGCGGGAAUCUAGCUUGCUAGAUUUGCCGGCGACCGGCGCACGGGUGAGUAACACGUAUCCAACCUGGCCCAUACUCGGGUAUAGCCUCUCGAAAGGGAGAUUAAUCCCCGAUGUUGUUGUUUCACCGCAUGGUGUAUCAACCAAAGAAUUUCGGUAUGGGAUGGGGAUGCGUUCCAUUAGCUUGUUGGCGGGGUAACGGCCCACCAAGGCUACGAUCAGUAGCCGGACUGAGAGGUUGGCCGGCCACAUUGGGACUGAGACACGGCCCAGACUCCUACGGGAGGCAGCAGUGGGGAAUAUUGGGCAAUGGGCGCAAGCCUGACCCAGCAACGCCGCGUGAAGGAAGAAGGCUUUCGGGUUGUAAACUUCUUUUGUCAGGGACGAAUAAUUGACGGUACCUGACGAAUAAGCCACGGCUAACUACGUG